rnacentral:rRNA from 1 species
UACGAAGGGGGCUAGCGUUGUUCGGAAUUACUGGGCGUAAAGCGCACGUAGGCGGAUAUUUAAGUCAGGGGUGAAAUCCCAGAGCUCAACUCUGGAACUGCCUUUGAUACUGGGUAUCUUGAGUAUGGAAGAGGUAAGUGGAAUUGCGAGUGUAGAGGUGAAAUUCGUAGAUAUUCGCAGGAACACCAGUGGCGAAGGCGGCUUACUGGUCCAUAACUGACGCUGAGGUGCGAAAAGCGUGGGUAGCAAACAGG